rnacentral:lncRNA from 10 species
AAAAUGCCAGCUAUCACCAGUGAAGAACUCCAGGUGGCACAAAUACUAUGACCUGUCUCCUAACAGAUCUCAGGAGGAAGCCAGUUGAGUUGUUCCUCACGCUUUCCCCACGAAGCUGCAUCUGAAGGACUUCCUCACCCCCCCGCUGUGAUCACAAGUUAUGCCUCACAGAUUCAUUUCCUUAUGAAUGACUUCAGGAAGCCAGCAUUUUUAAUAAAUAGGAAGUAAAUUAUAUUUAAUGACUAAAUUCUCACCUAAAGUUGAUACUAAUAUUACAAUAACUCUCUUGUGCCCUAUUUUGGUGUUUUAAACUUCUUUGCUGUACAUUUAAGAAAAUCAGAAUUUCAGUAGACUCCUCGUGCAGUCUGAGGAGGCAGUUUCCUAUCUGGUUUGACUUAAGGGGCUGCAGAAGACAUUCUUAUCCCACAUAUUUCUUCUGCUGAUCAGUCAGCAACUGAAAUUCCAACUAAUGGAUUCCAUUCUUCCAGUUAAGACAUCAUCUCCAGAAAACUGUGCUAGUUGGCAUCCAGCAGUGCCCAAGUAUUAUUUAACCCACUAGAACCUGUGACUGCAUCAGCUUUAUAUCCUGGACCUCAGCCUGGAACAAAGGAGAGCUACACUUGGAUACUAAACACAAGUGGUCUGGAUAGAUUAUGCUGGGAAAAGAAGCCUGGAGCAGGCAGUACAGUGGGAGAACAAGGAGAGAAUGGAGUUGCAGCAGACUGCUCAGGAAUUGUACAUCACCAGUAGCUUCUGUCUCAGCUAAGUGUGGGAGACUGAUACUGAUGAGCCAUUAACAAUGGUGGAGAUUCUGAAUCACUGAAGCACUUGAUAAAAGAAAUGUCGUGGGUGAUGUGAAAAUCUACAUAUGCCCAUGAGAGUAUAUUGAGUUUGUAAGUGUUGUUGCUUAGUGUGUCACAGAGAAGUUUAUAAGAAACUAUUUUGGAGUAAGAAACAACACAGAAGAACACAGUUUCAGCCUGAAAUGGCUUAUUUAGCCACUGACCAUCAGAAACAAUUACUUUUUACCUUAACCUAGAUUUGUAAUAGCAGGAUGCAUUGAAUUCCUUCAUUGAAGUGAAACCUUAGCAAAUCUUUAAGUAGUACUCUAAAGUGACAAAAGGUGUUUACAUUUACUAAUGUAAAUUUCUUGUGGAGAUAAAGUUUUUAUUCUUCUUGGGUCUCAAGACUGCUCAAGAAGGAACCAUCGUUUGUUCUACACUGCUCUGUUCUAAAUGUUUGUUCCCCCAAUAUUCAUAUGUUGAAAUUCUAACCCCCAAGGAGAUAGUAUUAGGAGGUGGGGCCUUCGGGACAUGAUAAGGUCAUGAGGAUGAAGCCCUCAAGAAUAAGAUUCAUUGCCUUAUAAAGAAAAACCAGAAAGAUCCCUCAUUUCUUCAAUCAUAAGAAGACACAUGAGCAAGAAGACGGCCAGCUAUGAAGCAGGUCGUGGGCCCUCGCCAGACACUGAAUCUGCCAACACUUUGAUCUUGGAUUUCCUAGCCUGCAGAACUACAGAAGUGCUUGCCUUGGUGAUCCAAAAAAGGCAGGAUCCGGCCGGGGGCAAGGUGAUUAUUCUGUCUGAUGAGGAGAAUAAGAGCCAGUUUGUGGUAUUGACAGAAGAAUGAAAGUAAAG